rnacentral:rRNA from 1 species
GCGGUAAUACGGAGGGUGCAAGCGUUAAUCGGAAUUACUGGGCGUAAAGCGCACGCAGGCGGUUUGUCAAGUCGGAUGUGAAAUCCCCGGGCUCAACCUGGGAACUGCAUUCGAAACUGGCAAGCUAGAGUCUUGUAGAGGGGGGUAGAAUUCCAGGUGUAGCGGUGAAAUGCGUAGAGAUCUGGAGGAAUACCGGUGGCGAAGGCGGCCCCCUGGACAAAGACUGACGCUCAGGUGCGAAAGCGUGGGGAGCAAACAGGAUUAGA